rnacentral:misc_RNA from 1 species
GAUGAAGAACGUAGCGAAAUGCGAUAAGUAAUGUGAAUUGCAGAAUCCAGUGAAUCAUCGAAUCUUUGAACGCACAUUGCGCCCGCCAGCAUUCUGGCGGGCAUGCCUGUUCGAGCGUCAUUUCAACCCUCGACCUCCCUUUGGGGAAGUCGGCGUUGGGGACCGGCAGCACACCGCCGGCCCUGAAAUGGAGUGGCGGCCCGUCCGCGGCGACCUCUGCGUAGUAAACCAACUCGCACCGGAACCCCGACGUGGCCACGCCGUAAAACACCCAACUUCUGAACGUUGACCUCGAAUCAGGUAGGACUACCCGCUGAACUUAAGCAUAUAAUAAGCGGAGGA